rnacentral:rRNA from 1 species
CCUACGGGUGGCAGCAGUGAGGAAUAUUGGUCAAUGGGCGCGAGCCUGAACCAGCCAAGUAGCGUGAAGGAUGACUGCCCUACGGGUUGUAAACUUCUUUUAUAAAGGAAUAAAGUGAGGCACGUGUGCCUUUUUGUAUGUACUUUAUGAAUAAGGAUCGGCUAACUCCGUGCCAGCAGCCGCGGUAAUACGGAGGAUCCGAGCGUUAUCCGGAUUUAUUGGGUUUAAAGGGAGCGUAGAUGGGUUGUUAAGUCAGUUGUGAAAGUUUGUGGCUCAACCGUAAAAUUGCAAUUGAUACUGGGAGGCUUGAGUACAGUUGAGGCAGGCGGAAUGCGUGGUGUAGCGGUGAAAUGCUUAGAUAUCACGAAGAACUCCGAUUGCGAAGGCAGCUUACUAAACUGCCACUGACAUUGAUGCUCGAAAGCGUGGGGAUCAAACAGGAUUAGAUACCCGGGUAGUC